rnacentral:rRNA from 1 species
UCGGCUCAGUAACACGUCGAUAAUUGCCCUAAGGUCUUGGAUAGCGUUGGGAAACUGACGGUAAAACAAGAUAGAAGAUUGGUACUGGAAUGUUCUUUCUUUUAAAAGCAAUGCCCUAGGAUAAGUCGGCGGCUGAUUAGGUAGUUGGUGAGGUAAUGGCUCACCAAGCCUUGGAUCAGUAGGGGGGAUGAGAGUCCUUGCCCCGAGAAGGGCACUGAGAUACUGGCCCUAGCCCUAAGGGGUGCAGCAGGCGCGAAAACUUUACAAUGUGCGAAAGCAUGAUAAGGGAAUUCCAAGUGCUUGGCCUUUGAGUCAAGCUUUUUUUGAGUGUAAAAAUCUCAGAGAAUAAGUGGUGGGUAAGACGGGUGCCAGCCGCCGCGGUAACACCUGCGCCACGAGUGGGAGCCACUUUUAUUGGGUCUAAAGCGUUCGUAGCUGGAGUAAUAAGUCUCUUGUGAAAUUGUUGCGCUUAACGUAACAUCGUGCAAGGGAAACUAUUACUCUAGAGACUGGGAAGAGAUUGGAGUAUGCCAAGGGGAGCGGUAAAAUGUUAUAAUCCUUGGUAGACUACCUGUGGCGAAGGCGCCAAUCUAGAACAGGUCUGACAGUGAGGGACGAAGGCUAGGGGAGCAAAACGGAUUAGAUACCCGAGUAGUCCUAGCAGUAAACUCUGUGAACUAUGUGUUGCACAAUCUUCGUGAUUGUGCAGUGCCUAAGCGAAGGCGUUAAGUUCACCACCUGGGAAGUACGGCCGCAAGGACUGAAACUUAAGGAAUUGGCGGGGGAGCAC